CUAGGCUGCGUCCGUCACUGAACAUCAGUGAUCGGGUUUAGCAGCCUGUUUG
rnacentral:ncRNA from 1 species